rnacentral:rRNA from 1 species
CAGUCGCCGCGGUAAUACAGAGGAUGCAAGCGUUAUCCGGAACGAUUGGGCGUAAAGCGUCUGUAGGUGGCUUUUCAAGUCCGCCGUCAAAUCCCAGGGCUCAACCCUGGACAGGCGGUGGAAACUACCAAGCUGGAGUACGAUAGGGGCAGAGGGAAUUUACGGUGGAGCAGUGAAAUGCGUUGGGAUCGGAAAGAACACGAACAGCGAAAGCACUCAGCUGGGCCGACACUGACACUGAGAGACGAAAGCUAGGGGAGCAAAUGGGAUUAGAUACCCCUGUAGUCCCUGUCUCUUAUAU